GUGUGUGUGUGUAAUCGUGUUUUCUGAGUUUGUAGUGUGUCUGCAUGCCUAGUUUUUAUCCCAGCGAGGAUUAUUUCCUUGGCUCAAAAGCUUUACAUCUCUAAUUGGUAUAACCUACAUGCUGGUGUUUGUGGUUGCUGUGCUCCUUUUUUGAUCAGUUUAUGCGUUGGCAGGUUGCAGUUAUCUUCGGCGGGGGGUAGCUAGUCACCUGGUGGCGGGCUUGUGAACUUCACUUUGGAGUGUACUAUGGAAUAUCGGUGGUGGCUUGCUGUGACAAUGGUGUAACACUUUUCUGCAGUGAGAGUGCACGUGUGGACACCUUCCUUGAUAGUCUGCUUCCCCCCCAUCCAGCAACAGAUCACACCACACUCCCCCCUCCCUCUCCCCAACAGUGCUUUCAAUAAACGGACAUUUGAUUUGAUUGGAA